GACGAACGCUGGCGGCGUGCCUAAUACAUGCAAGUAGAACGCUGAAGCUUGGUGCUUGCACCGAGCGGAUGAGUUGCGAACGGGUGAGUAACGCGUAGGUAACCUGCCUGGUAGCGGGGGAUAACUAUUGGAAACGAUAGCUAAUACCGCAUAAGAGUAGAUGUUGCAUGACAUUUGCUUAAAAGGUGCAAUUGCAUCACUACCAGAUGGACCUACGUUGUAUUAGCUAGUUGGUGAGGUAACGGCUCACCCAGGCAACGAUACAUAGCCGACCUGAGAGGGUGAUCGGCCAAGCUGGGACUGGGACACGGCCCAGACUCCUACGAGAGGCAGCAGUAGGGAAUUUUCGGCAAUGGACGGAAGUCUGAACGAGCAACGCCGCGUGAGUGAAGAAGGUUUUCGGAUCGUAAAGCUCUGUUGUAAGAGAAGAACGAGUGUGAGAGUGGAAAGUUCUCACUGUGACAGUAUCUUACCAGAAAGGGACGGCUAACUCCGUG
rnacentral:rRNA from 1 species